ACAGCAGUCGCCGCGGUAAUACGGAGGGUGCAAGCGUUAAUCGGAAUUACUGGGCGUAAAGCGCACGCAGGCGGUCUGACAAGUCAGAUGUGAAAUCCCCGGGCUUAACCUGGGAACUGCAUUUGAAACUGUCAGGCUGGAGUCUUGUAGAGGGGGGUAGAAUUCCAGGUGUAGCGGUGAAAUGCGUAGAGAUCUGGAGGAAUACCGGUGGCGAAGGCGGCCCCCUGGACAAAGACUGACGCUCAGGUGCGAAAGCGUGGGGAGCAAACAGGAUUAGAUACCCCUGUAGUCCCUGUCUCUUAUAC
rnacentral:rRNA from 1 species